rnacentral:rRNA from 1 species
UACGUAGGGAGCGAGCGUUGUCCGGAAUUACUGGGUGUAAAGGGAGUGUAGGCGGGAAAACAAGUCAGAUGUGAAAACUAUGGGCUCAACCUGUAGACUGCAUUUGAAACUAUUUUUCUUGAGUGAAGUAGAGGUAAGCGGAAUUCCUAGUGUAGCGGUGAAAUGCGUAGAUAUUAGGAGGAACAUCAGUGGCGAAGGCGGCUUACUGGGCUUUUACUGACGCUGAGGCUCGAAAGCGUGGGGAGCAAAC